CAGGAGGUGGUUUAAAAGAAAAUCUUGGCUUUGGGAGCCAAGGAUGAGGGUUUGUCUCCCUUCCUCCUGA
rnacentral:tRNA from 2 species